UCAGCGUUCAUGUUUCAUGUGUGAGCCAG
rnacentral:piRNA from 1 species